rnacentral:rRNA from 1 species
GUGGGGAAUAUUGGGCAAUGGGGGCAACCCUGACCCAGCGACGCCGCGUGGGUGAAGAAAUCCCUCGGGAUGUAAAGCCCUGUUGUAUGGGAAGAGCAGAAGACGGUACCAUACGAGGAAGCCCCGGCAAACUACGUGCCAGCAGCCGCGGUAAUACGUAGGGGGCAAGCGUUGUCCGGAAUUACUGGGCGUAAAGCGCACGCAGGCUGAAUUAUAAGUCGGUAGUCAAAUACGGAGGCUCAACUUCCGGAUAUCUAUCGAUACUGUAAAUCUAGAGUAUGUGAGAGGGAAGCGGAAUUCCCGGUGUAGCGGUGAAAUGCGUAGAUAUCGUGAGGAACACCAGUGGCGAAGGCGGCUUCCUGGCACAAUACUGACGCUCAUGUGCGAAAGCUAGGGCAGCGAACGGGAUUAGAUACCCCUGUAGUCC